AGUGAACGCUGGCGGUAGGCCUAACACAUGCAAGUCGAACGGCAGCACAGUAAGAGCUUGCUCUUACGGGUGGCGAGUGGCGGACGGGUGAGGAAUACAUCGGAAUCUACUUUUUCGUGGGGGAUAACGUAGGGAAACUUACGCUAAUACCGCAUACGACCUACGGGUGAAAGCAGGGGAUCUUCGGACCUUGCGCGAUUGAAUGAGCCGAUGUCGGAUUAGCUAGUUGGCGGGGUAAAGGCCCACCAAGGCGACGAUCCGUAGCUGGUCUGAGAGGAUGAUCAGCCACACUGGAACUGGGACACGGUCCAGACUCCUACGGGAGGCAGCAGUGGGGAAUAUUUGACAAUGGGCGCAAGCCUGAUCCAGCCAUACCGCGUGGGUGAAGAAGGCCUUCGGGUUUUAAAGCCCUUUUGUUGGGAAAGAAAAGCAGCAGGUUAAUACCCCGCUGUUCUGACGGUACCCAAAGAAUAAGCACCGGCUAACUUCGUG
rnacentral:rRNA from 1 species